CAAUAGCGUAUAUUAAAGUUGUUGCAGUUAGAACGCUCGUAGUCGGAUUUCGGGGCGUUCCGACCGGUCUGCCGAUGGGUAUGCACUGGCCGGAGUGUCCUUUUUGCCGGAGACCGUGCCUACUCUUAACUGAGCGGGGGCGGGAGACGGCACUUUUCCUUUGAAAAAAUCAGAGUGUUUCAAGCAGGCAGCUCGCUCUUGCAUGGAUUAGCAUGGGAUAAUGAAAUAGGACUUUGGUGCUAUUUUGUUGGUUUCGAACACCGAAGUAAUGAUGAGAAGGGACAGUCAGGGGCACUCGUAUUCCGCAGAGAGAGGUGAAAUUCUCAGACCCGCGGAAGACGAACCACUGCGAAAGCAUUUGCCAGGGAUGUUUUCACUGA
rnacentral:rRNA from 1 species